rnacentral:lncRNA from 1 species
GCUCGCCUAAAGUGGUGGGAGCGCGCCGCAGGCUGGAGGGCCGCGGGCUGAGCGCUGUCCGUGGUGCUGAAGCCGAUCCCUCCCCGCCCCGCCCCGCCCCGCCCGCCCCCAGCUGGAGCUGAGCCCAGGUUGUGCUUGCGGCCUUGGGUGCUGCCGUGCCGGCCGUCACGGAGGUUCCUGGGGCUCAACGAGCUGGCUGCAUGAAGCAACUAGCUUCUCGCUUAUCCUGGGCUGAGCAGGCGGAGGCUUUUCCGGCUGCUCUUCCUCGGAAUACAAUUGGGUGGGGGGGGGGGGGAGGAGUCUCCGCCCCGGAGGCGGAAGCGCCUGAGCUCAGAAUAAAAGGGGUCUCUGCGUGGGGUAUUCUCCUGUUGGUCCUGCUUGGUUAGGGUGUGCGUGAGGCGGAAGACGGAAGAUUCACGGGACGGCGGAGGAGUUUUGAAGCCCCAAAGUUGGAGCCAGACCUGGAGGGGUCUGAAAAGCUUCUGGAGGAAAAAGCGAGUAAGACAAAUAGGCCAGGACCCUCUAAGCACCGGGGAUCGAGGGCCAGAAUGAGGAGGCAGGAAUUUCUGGGGUACCCCCCCUUUUCUUUUUCCUCUUUUCUCUCUCAAGAUCAUUUUUUCUCAAAUGAUCUUGCUUCCUGGGAAGGCUGAGGAUGCAGCCAAGAAAAUGCAUUUUAGGCCCCCAGAGAAAGUGAUAGAGGGGUGUAGAUAUGCUGUUUUAAGAAAGCGAACAAUUUUGGUGUCUGGAAACAGGAUCCCCUCACCUGUUCCCUUCUCUGCCCCCAUAAUCUUCCUAAAAGGCCAAGCUUUCUGCCCUCCCGCAGGGGAUCUAAGGUGGGCCCUGUGGACACUGCCUGAAAAGAAGGCGACCUUCAAGAAUGGAAGGGCCCCUGCCCUACACAUCUCAGCAGAACACCAGCUAUGACUCCCCACUGGGCUUCUAGAUUCCAGAGCCAGGGAGCGGAAUUGCUGACCAGACCAGCAGAGGGAGUGACAGACGUCAUCCCAGUGACCUUGACUUGAGUUUCCUCCUUGGGGGCCUUGGAAUCUGUGCAACAUUGUGAGACCUUCUCAUCAUGUUGUUAUCGUCUAAUGAAAACUCAUUAUAAAAUAUGGAAUUCUGGAUCUUUUGAAUGGCUUCAUUUGUGGUUUUCUUGGGUAAGGGCUGGAGUCAAUGGACAUGUGAAAACUUUUUGUUUUUCCCUUUUUAG